GUUUGUUUGUUGCAUUCACCACAUACUUUCUGGUCCACUAUAUUUAUAUAUAUAGAGAGGUAACAUAGCUAUUCAUUAGGAAAUGAUGUCGUGUACGUGAAAUUUGAAAACUAAUUUGUGUGUUCGUUUAUUUAUUAUAUUUUCUUUAUUUAAUUCUUAUAUUUGCUGAUUUAUUAUUAGACUAUAAAUAAGUGUUCUUGCUAGUUGUGGUUUCAAGCAAUCAUGGAAAAGAGGAUUGUUUUCUCGGUUAUUGUGAUUCUUUGUUUGGGGUUUUAUGGUUAUGUAGCGGUUGAAGCGGCGAGGGAAGGGAGGUUUUUGUACGGUGGUGCUGAUGAGGGUUUAACCGUCGGUGGGUAUGGUAAAGAUAAGGGUUUUGUGCCUGGA
rnacentral:lncRNA from 1 species